UAAACCUGCACUUUAAACCUGCACUUGAUCCUGAGCACAGUAGAGAGCCACUGAAAGAUUUUAAGCAAGAGAGUGCCAUACAGUGUUGGAAUGAUUCACUCGGACAGCAAUGUGGAAGAUAGACCAGAAAGGGCAAGUCCAGAGGCCAACAAUAAUCUUAGCCUCAGAGUUCUUUUUUUAAUACCCAAGAAUACUAUUUCAUUUUACUUAUAUUUUUAAACUUUUCUCUAUAACGCUCUCUCUGCUCCCCCACAUUGUUGUCUGGAUGGUAAACCUAGGACUGGUCUCUGAGUCCUGGUCACAGCCUGGCAACAGAAUGUUUGAGCAAACUGGGAAGGCUGCCCCAUGGAUCCCUGGUUUCUUAUCACCAUCCUCUUAAUUCUACGUUUGCCAACCAGUCUCUAGGAAGCCAGCGUGCUCUUGCGCCCCUCCCACCAGGUUUCCAGUUGCUAAGCGUGUCAUGUUUGCAUUUGGGUAUCAUCUGCAUGAGUGACCAUUUUAAUCUCUCUUUCCUUGACUACUUGUUCUACACUAGAGUCUAGGGUGGGGGUGAGUACAGUGGUAAAGACAGGGAUAGCGGGAAAUUUAGUCUUCUGUUUAGGAAGCUGGAUGGUAGUGUGGAUUUUCUAACUCCUUGUGGUAAUUAAAUUCUGGAGCACAGUUUUUAGACCUUUUCUGAAAUCUGUUACUGUUGAAGUCAGCUUCAUAUAUUUCACUUUUUUUUUUUUUGAGACAGAGUCUCACACUGUUACUCAGGCUGGAGUGCACUGGUACAAUCUUGACUCACUGCAACCUCCACAGCUCCCAGGUUCAAGCGAUUCUCGUGCCUCAGCCUCCCAAGUAGCUGGUACUACAGGCGCGUGCCACCAUGCUUGGCUAAUUUUUGUAUUUCUAGUAAAGAUGGGGUUUUGCCAUGUUGCCCAGGCUGGUCUCGAACUCCUGGCCUCAGGUAAUCUGCCCGCCUCAGCCUCCCAAAGUGUUUGGAUUGCAGGCAUGAGCCACUGCACCCACCCUAUUUCACUAUUAAGUACUCUCUUCCUGUGAUAUUAAUGACUUAUUUGUUUCAAACUUUUUUGUGCCAUUGAGCUUUUUAGUGAUCCAGUGAAGCCUGUGGACCCCCUCUCAUAGUAAUGUUUUCAAAGCAUAAAACUAAAUAUAAAGGAUCGCAAAGGAAACUGAUCAUGUUAAAAUAAAGUUGAUAUUUUCAAAGUUUUAUGAUCCAGUAACAUACAUAUUCUGUUAACACAAAAUAAGACUGCAUGGUGGUUCUAAAAUUACUAUAAUUCAAAUUCAUAUCUUGAAAUAUCUAACAACUGUAAUAUAUCUAAAUGUCUCAUUUCUAUUGGUGACAAAGUCACAGGUACUCUGAUCCUACUGUGGACUGUUUCCUAUAUUCGUAAUUGAAGGAAAUGUUAUAUUUCAGUUAGAAGUUGGUGAAAAGAAAGAUUUAAAAUUUUUCCCAUCCAAGUUCACCAGACCCCUGGUUUAGAGGUUGUCUUAAUUUUACUUUUGUCAUUUUAAGAGUAAAUUAUUUUGUUUUCUUGUUCAAUUCUCAAUUAUUUGGGCUUAUUUUACUGCCUCUUGCAUGCUUUUUUAUGCUUGAAUGGUUUUUGCAGUGUUAGAACAGUAAUAAUUGAAGACUUGGGUGGAAAAAAAUCAGCACCUGAUUGAAAAUGAAAGGUUUCAACAAAAGCUCUUGAUAAUGUUACCUCCAGGUGUACCAUCAUGCCACCAUUAUUGGUGCUACAAAUCUGUUAAUUUAUUUAUGCUUAAGUAUGUAAACUUUAAUAAAACUUGGAUCAUCUGCAUUAAAAAAU
rnacentral:lncRNA from 10 species